CAGAUAAAGAUCUAUGAGCUACAGGGAACAGCUGAGGGUCAUGAAUAAUCACCAAGAACUUCAGACACAAGGAGAGACUAGGAACACAGGGUACUGUGAACCUGGGGUCAUUCCCAGGAAGCUCAGAGUAGGAGAUGCCCUGGAUAGGAUACAGGGGACACACUCUGGAGGAAGUUACCACGGGAGGAAACCCACGCAAAUAUGAGGAAAAACGUGCAAACUACCCAAAACCACAGACCUUGGUGUCCCAACGAUGGAGGCUCCCUACUGAAUCCUUUAAAAUCAUUCAAAGUCUCAACUUGCCAAAGGAGCAGAGCCCAGCACCAAGCGAAGCUUCCACACCCUCGACCCCAACUCUAUCUCAUCUUCUCAACACUGCUUCUCCUCGCUACAAGAAAAGACACGAAACCUACACCUUUGUCCUGGUCUUCAUCCAAAAAACAACGGAAUCGUCUGAAAUGUAUUCUGCUAUUUUUAACCACCUGAUUGAAACGGAGUGUAUUGUUCUUUAUUGAGCUGGGACUUGGUACGGAAGCAGCUGUUGCAGUAGGUUAUGUGAUAAAAAUUAUAUUCCAUAAUUUAAUAUAUAAAGUCUGGCUUGAGAUCAACAUGUGAGAGCUGCCUGAACCGAUUAUGUCGCUGAUGCUUUUACAUUUGAACUGCACAGGGUUUUGUCUUUUGACAGAUGGGACAUUUUGGGUAAUGCAAAAUUUUUUGACCCUUUAAAAACCACACAAGUCUUUGCCCUUUAAAUAUUUACCCAGGUUUUUUUCUUUAUUGACAGGGUAACUAAGGGAUAUUUUGCACAUCAUACUCGCCACCUUUAAAACACUUUGAAUUUGUUAAUUUGCCCAUUUAGUUCAAGCACUCUACUGGUCUUGAAAUGAUAAACAACAUAUAUUGUCCACUGACCAUAAGCUGGCAUAAAGAUAGGACAUCUCAGAUUUGCUAUUAUGUAGACACCACAACAGGCAAUGUAAUAUGAAUCGUAAUAAAUUAUUAUGGUCUAAGAUUCACUUCAGUUGAUUUUGUGUUUAAUUUAGCUUUUGGGAAAACAAUGCAUUUUUAUAUUCUAAAAAUGAGCAUGUUGUUACCAGAUUUGAAUACAGAUAGCAUAUGCAAUAAUUAAAUGAUUUAAAAUAUUACAGA